AGGAAAUAUUUAGGCAAGUAUCAACUAGCAACACGUAUUGCUACUGAGAAGAAUCAAGCUUCCGGUGAUAAAAUGAAAUGAGAGCAACACAGCCGAGCCAUCUUGGGUUACUUGCAUGUUAGUAUCAUGGGAUGAGUGGACAAACAAGAUGUGGAAGAUGCAUACAAUGGAAACGUAUGUAGCCGCACAAUGGAAUGAAGCCCUGAUGCAUGUUACAGCAUGGACGAACCUUGAAAACAUUGUGCUGAGUGAAAUUGAUCCCCACUGGUGAGAAAACUUGGUCACAUAAAUAAGAAGAUGGGAAUGAAAAAGGUUUAGCAGAGCACUGUCAGUUAAUGCUUUGAAAGUAUGCUGAGGUGCACACCAAAACUUAGAGUGACUGCCAGCAAAAGUAACAUUUUCCCCAUUUUUAAUUAAUAAAUCAUGUGCAGACCACAAAAUUCACCCUUUUAACAUGUAAACUUGAGUCAUUUUCAGUUUAAUCCCAUCAAUUUCUGAGUCUUCUUUUGAACUAUGAAAACAUUCAGAAUUAACACCCAGGGGCCUGAAACCUCUCAGGUGCCCCCAUCCUCUUUGCUUCCCACACAUCCUCAUCGCUGAUGGUUACAGCCCCGAUGUACUGAGCACAUCCGUGUGGUCUGCUGCGGAACCAGUGACAUACAUGAACUUGUUAA